AAUUAUAACUCCAUCAUUCAAACUGUGCUCUUUAAAGAUAUUUGAUAUAACACGUGGAGCCAACCAACUGAAAGCGGGAGAGGCAGAGACAGACCGUCAGGCUCUCAGGCCAACCACGAGUCUGCAGCCAAGAGUGGGCUAGAAUUGCUAGAUGGACCAGCAGAAACUGCCCACAUUCACGAUACAGGGGUUUUUUUCUCACUACAGAACACACACAACGCGUUCCUGCACAGGUGUUGCCUGCACAGUCAUCCUGCAGCAGUGCUGUGGAAGUUUCACUCCCUGCCUUGAGCCUCGAAUCCAAGACCUUGAUGUCCAGCAAAAUGGAACAGCAGAGUCACUGCAGACCUUUCACCAGAAGGGAAUAGGGUUUUUUCCCCUUCCAACGUUUCCAGAAGCCAUUUCCUGGCUCCCACAGAACAUGAGAUGACACCCUUGGUUCCAUCUGAGCCUGGAGAUUUUUUUUGCCCGUCAUACCCAAGUGAUCUAUUAAGAAGAACAGACUAUCUAGGAUUUUAUUCCUCAGCUCCUUCCUUUACCAGUUCUAAUCCAAGCACGGGAAACAGAAAAUACUAGAAAGAAGGGAGAAAUAAAUGGAAGCCUAAAAGCU